GGCGGGCAAGGGGAGCCGCAGGACCGGACGACGCGGCGCUCGGCUCUCCCGGGCCGGGGGCGGGGCUGCGAUGGGAUAGUCGCCCCCACCCCUCUACUACUUCUCGCCGGGCCUUGCUACAAUGUUGCCAAGGGAGCUGCUGCUGCUGCUGCGAAGGAGCUGCGACGCUACUUCUUUGGCGGCCGCGGAAGGGCUUCAGGGGGUGAAAGUGGACACGGGGGAGGCAAACCCCCCCCCCACCACCACCACCACCAAAGGCGGAAGGAUAUUGCAAAAUCUCCAUUCCCACCCCACCAGCCAGAGGUGGUAUUUGCCAGUUCUCCGAACUACUCAAAAUUUCCGCUACCGGUUCUCCAGAACCUGUCAGAACCGGCUGGAUUUCACCCCUGCCCCCAACCUCUGGAAUAUUCUGCCAUUGGAGGUAAAGGUAAAAGUUUCCCGUCCACUCAUGUCCGGCUCAUCACCAUUUCCUAACAGAGGAAGCCAGUGCUGUCUGAAAACACUUCCGUGGUCAUGUGGCUGGCACGAUUAUACACCAAGCUACACGGAACGCUGUUACCUUCCCACCAAAGUGGUACCUGUUUAUCUAUUGGUGUUUUGCAUGCCUUCGAACUGCUAGGUUGGAAGGAGCUGAGGCAAGGGACGGGAGCUCACCCCAUCGUGCUGCACUCAGGUCUUGAACCUGGCUGUCAGAUUUCCAACUGACUUAAGCUCAGCAUUUUUAACCACUGAGCCAUCAUGCCCCUCUUCUUCCUAGAGUAUUCCCGCAGGUGCAGGGUCUGCUUUUCGGAUCCUUGAAAGCCACUUUGCCCGGUCAGUUGCAUCUCCAGGGCGCAGGCCUGCGGCUUGCAUAUCUUUGCUGAAGGUGUCUUGCCAUCUCUGUUUUGGGCGCCCGCAAGGUCGCCGGCCAUUGACUUCUAGUCGAUAGGCAGUCUUGGCCAUGGUGGAAGGUGCUGCUCUCUGGAUGUGUCCAUACCAGCGGAGCCGGCCUUCUUUCAUCUUCUCAAUAAUUGGUGCCAUGCCAAAAUGCUGUCGAAUGGUGUCAUUUGUGAUGUGGUCAAGAAGGGAGAUGCCCGAUAUCCAAACGAGCAUUCGCAUUUCCAUGGCAUGGGGAGAGCUUUUGGUCCCUGUUGUUGCUGCCCAGCAUUCACAUUGGCCAAUGUGCAACAGGGUAGAUGGUUGUCUUGUAAAUCUUAAGAUUUAUGAUAGGUUGACAUCAUGGCCCCCUGUGGUUCUACUAAAUAGGACCUAUGACAAUUUGCCUCCUGAAGACUUUAAGGGAAUAUUCUUCAAAGUUAUACCAAUUUUCUUUAUUUGAUGGAAAGUUUUUGUAGAUGGAAAGAUUAUUAGCAAAGCGAUUGAAUUUAUUUGCAGUCUUUCCAGGGAGAAGAGUUGGGGGGGUGCAAAACACGAAACCUUACAUGCGUGACCAGUUUCCUCAUACAAAUCUACCGUAUUUUUCAGAGUAUAAGACGCACCAGAGGGAAUGGAGGAGAUUAUCCUGGAAAACAGCUUUAAAAAAAAAUGCUGUGAACCAGCCAAACAAUAGAUUUAGGAGUGGUGGAGAAUAUGCUGGUAAUCAGCGGGAGGAAUGGAGGAGAUUAUGCUGGAAAACAGCCAAAAUAAAAAUGCUAUGAAUCAGCCAAACAAUAGAUUUAGGAGUGGAGGAGAAUAUGCUGGAAAACAGCCUAAAGAUAAAAAUGUUGGAAAUCAGUUGGGGUGAAAAAGAAGAUGAUGGAUGAUAAUUAAACAAUGUGAAAUGAUUUUGAAAUGAUUUUAUGUAAAAUGAGAAGUGUAAUUGAUGAUAAGCCUAAGAAAAUUAGAUGUAAAUCAAUAGAGGUUAAGAUAGAGAUUUGAUGAAAUGGGUUUUGAGAUUAAUGAAUAUAUAUGGAAUUUUGAUUUAUAAAGAUAUAAAAAUUAGAAUUGUGUUUAUUUGGAAACUAAAUAUUGCAUAUAAAAAGGAGCUGUGUUUAUUUGGAAAUUAAGAUUUAUGGUGAUACAAUAGGAUGCUAAAUGUUUAGAUUAAGAUGUUAGAAUUUGUGAUAAAAAUUUGUGGUUUGACUUUUAUUUUAAAAGAUGUAAACGGAUGAAACUUGGAAUCCAGCUUGUUAAAGAAGUGUGAGCAAUUGUACCUAUUCAUGACCGGACCAAACCUUCGCUCUCAAAAGAUGUAUUUUAUGUUUAAGAUGUUUAAAAAAUAAAUAAAAAAUAUUUUUCAAAAAAAA